CCUACGGGAGGCUGCAGUGGGGAAUAUUGGACAAUGGGGGCAACCCUGAUCCAGCCAUGCCGCGUGUGUGAAGAAGGCCCUCGGGUUGUAAAGCACUUUCAGUGAGGAAGAACGCCUGGUGGUUAAUACCCAUCAGGAAAGACAUCACUCACAGAAGAAGCACCGGCUAACUCCGUGCCAGCAGCCGCGGUAAUACGGAGGGUGCGAGCGUUAAUCGGAAUUACUGGGCGUAAAGCGCGCGUAGGUGGCUUGAUAAGCCGGUUGUGAAAGCCCCGGGCUCAACCUGGGAACGGCAUCCGGAACUGUCAAGCUAGAGUGCAGGAGAGGAAGGUAGAAUUCCCGGUGUAGCGGUGAAAUGCGUAGAGAUCGGGAGGAAUACCAGUGGCGAAGGCAGCCUUCUGGACUGACACUGACACUGAGGUGCGAAAGCGUGGGUAGCAAACAGGAUUAGAUACCCCUGUAGUC
rnacentral:rRNA from 1 species